GACGAUACAAAAAACAUAAAUUUGUCAAUAUUUUUAAUAUACAAACUUUAAAAUCAGUUUAAAAUAGAUUCGUUGGCAAUUUUUAAUGACCCAAUUUUCGAGUUUGGCUCAUCUAAGUUUGUUAACAAAUCUGAUUCGAAUAUACUCGAGCUCGUCUAAAAAUAAUAAAUUAAAUUCGAAUAGGUUUAGAUUCGGUUCAUAAACAGCCCUACCUAAAGUCAAUGAUGCAUAAUCCAUUCAAUCCAAAAUCUAUAACUUACAAAUCGAUAAACACAUGAAACAUAAACUAAUUCCUCCAACUCUUUUGUGAUCCGUUUAACCCAUCCGAUUUGACAAACGAGCCCCAUCAGGAGCAUCUGCCUUCUGGUAUCAGGCCUGUGUGGGUGUCCAACUGUCCAUGGCCUAUCAGCAAGAUAUCAUUGUGUAAUUAAUCAGGCACCAACUAAAUAUGUCCUAAGAGUAUACUGAUGAAAUGAGAAACAAAUAUGAAACCGGGUAUGGAAACGUAAUAAUCCAUUCGGAAAGCGACAAAGCGUAGUGAAAAAAGGGAACUGGUAUUUAAUUUACCGUUUACCUUCACCGACUUACUCUCCCUAUAUAAACAGACUACCAGUCACCAGAACAAAAUGUUACCAGAGAAUAAAUUAGCAAACCCCGAGUAAAAAUUCAAAGCUAUCCGCGCGCAGCCAUGGCGAUCAACGGAUUAAUCUUGGAAGGUCCACAGACCAAAACAACAAGGAGCCGAUCUCCUCCUCCUCCGGCCGCGCCGUUCUCCAAAUCAGAGAUCGAGGUGGCCGAGCAUCUGGUGGUGCUCAGCAAUAGUACGGGCGGCAAUCGCGGUGAUAGUAGCACUGCUGGCAGCAGCAUCAACAACAACAAGGAGGCGGCGGCGGCGACGGAGGCGGAGGAGGAAGAGGAGGAGGAGGAGAUGCUUAGCCGGCGAAGGAAGAAAAGACGGACGAGGUCGCUGGAGAGUAUUUAUAAAGCUACAGUUCCGAUCAGUACUGUAUCUUCAUUUUUGUAAUUUUUUUGUUGACGGUUUUUAUACAUGAUGUAGAUUAAACCGUAGAGAAAAAACAGAGUAUGGUGUUAAUCGAGUAACAGAGUAUUGAACUUUCCCAUCGGAAAAUGGAAUGCGACGGUGGUUAACAUUGCUCCGAUCGAAUCUUGCCAUGCACAAACCAAUGCAGUCAUUGUACCAUUUUCUCCUAUCAACUCAAGUGGUUAAGAAGGUUCAGAAUUGUUAUAUUAUUCAUUAAUACAUCCUUCAAACAAAAAAAAUUUAUUUUAUUCCAUCAAUUCAAAAUAUUGGAAGCGAAAAGGAUAGAGGAUUCAGAUAAAUUUUUAUAUUAUUUAUUAAUAUACCCCUCACAAAAGUCUUUAUAAAAUGUGAGGUUUGUACAGUAUUCAUAAUUCAUAUGUAUAGAUUGGGAUUAUCAAGAUUCAAAAUGGAGACCUCUCGAUCUUUCCAAGCGCUGGUACUAUGUCAUGAACUCUUUCAUCUUAUUAAUUUAAAUUGUUGGAAAAAAGUUCGGAUUAACUUUUAUAUUAUUCAUUAACAAGAACUAACCUAGCCAGUUGUAAGAGAUUGGUGGUUUCGACUUAAACAAUAUAAUGGCAGAUUCAUAAUUAAAACAUGCACUUAGCCGGAUUUGAAUCGAAUUUUCCAUAUUUAGUAAUCAAUUUAUGAAUACAUUUUUAAAAAUAUAAUACUAAGGCGAAAUAUAUACAAAACAGAAAUCCGUUUGUGAUGUUUUUAGUUAAAGUAAGUUGUUAUUGAAAAUUGAAUGUGUCACCGGCGAUUUUUUCCCUACCAAAGUAAUUGUAAANNNNNNNNNNNNNNNNNNNNNNNNNNNNNNNNNNNNNNNNNNNNNNNNNNNNNNNUGAUUAAUAUGUAUCAAACAUUUUUUUGUAGGCAAAAUUAAAUCGAAAAUUACGUAGAUGAUCAAGUCGAAAUGUUAAUUACAAAAAAUGGCAACCCCCUCACUUACAGCGUUGUAGAGUCCCUCUAACGGCUGUUUUCUAAUGGUACUAACCUCAUUGUCGAAAAUUUCAACGGGUCGAUGUUGGUUGCGCUCGCCCCAAAGUAGUUCUCCAUCGAUCAGCUCAGGAUCGACACAAGGAGGUGUUGGUCCAUACAAGUAAUCCAUCCUACAACGGAAAAAAAUAUUAGUAGGUAAAAAUUGAGAAAUUUACAAAAAAAGAAAUACUAAUAUUACCGAUUAGUUGACCGCAAACAAUAAUUUGCUUGUCGGUAUCGAAAAUCAAAGGAGGAAGUGGAUGUGAUUAGUGAAUGUGU
rnacentral:lncRNA from 1 species